UAAGUUUGCAUACCUGGAACCUUCUUCGCCAAUUCCAACCCAAUAUUCAUCCACUUCUGUGCCACUUCAGUCUGUCCCAACCUCAGAGGAAGUGCUGCUCGGUUCCAUGCUGUCAUGGAAAGCCAUUUUGCCUCUUCAGUGGGAUACUCCCCUUCCUUCAAACCCACCAUUAUUCGAAUUAAAGCCACAUAUUGGUAAUCAGGAGAAGGGGAAGCAAGGAGAGCAGAAAGGCAAGAAUUCAGGGCAAAACCAGCUACUUCAGGGUUGGAUCGUGGUCCCUGUGAGGCAUCAAGACCGAUCUGAAGAAGAUGCAAAGGAUUGCAAGAUUUAGAACUAGCAAAGCUUUUUAUCAAAAGCAUCUGCUUUUGUCCCAUGUCACUUAGCCUUGAAUAUAGAUCGUAGGCACUCCAAGUGUGCAAAAAUGAAGUCAGACUCUGUGCUGGUUUCUUUAUGUUCAUCUUGCAAAGAGAUUGCCGAGCUUGAUAAUAAAAUCUGCAAUUAACAAAUAAACACUUUGUUACAAUCAAACAUUUGGUACCGGUGAAUACAACUUUCACAACCAUGCUCCUCCAGAGCGAACUUUAACUUAAUUUGACAGCAAACUUCUGAUCUCUGAUCAGAAGUUAAAGUUUUACUGGUAAAUUUGAAGCCAUGAAUGAUGAUUGA